rnacentral:rRNA from 1 species
ACGAACGCUGGCGGCGUGCCUAAUACAUGCAAGUAGAACGCUGAAGAGAGGAGCUUGCUCUUCUUGGAUGAGUUGCGAACGGGUGAGUAACGCGUAGGUAACCUACCUUGUAGCGGGGGAUAACUAUUGGAAACGAUAGCUAAUACCGCAUAACAAUGGAUGACACAUGUCAUUUAUUUGAAAGGGGCAAUUGCUCCACUACAAGAUGGACCUGCGUUGUAUUAGCUAGUAGGUGAGGUAAUGGCUCACCUAGGCGACGAUACAUAGCCGACCUGAGAGGGUGAUCGGCCACACUGGGACUGAGACACGGCCCAGACUCCUACGGGAGGCAGCAGUAGGGAAUCUUCGGCAAUGGGGGCAACCCUGACCGAGCAACGCCGCGUGAGUGAAGAAGGUUUUCGGAUCGUAAAGCUCUGUUGUAAGUCAAGAACGGGUGUGAGAGUGGAAAGUUCACACUGUGACGGUAGCUUACCAGAAAGGGACGGCUAACUACGUG